UGGGGCUUCACCAACCUUCAGUAUGCCUCGUCUUCUCAUUUGAGCCACUGUCCAUCUCUUCCCUCCAUCCAGUCCCAGAUAUAAACCCCUUUUGGCACCUGAGCAACUAUGUCUGAGAUCAAGCCAUGAAUCAAUCAACAGAGGUCCUGGCACCGUGCUAGCUCUUGUGGGGAACACAAAAGAAGAGGACGUGAUAGAAACGAGAGUGCUUUUAAUGAAGAAGGUGAUGCUUGAGCUGGCCUCAAAGGACAGGUAGGAUUUAGGUACAAUGCACAUCUUGAGAAGCUGGAUUCGUUUGUAAGGAUGCCCCAAAUGAAUUUCUAGUCUGUUAAGUGAUAUGUAAAUCCAGAUAGAAUUUCUGAAUCUGAUCUGCCUUUCACCUUGGGCCACUUGUUUUCAGAGCAGUAAGCAUUAAGAGAGAUGAGGCACACAGCCUCAGAAAGAGUAUUAUCUAAUGACUGUUUUAAAAGGUAAGGAUAUCUACUUCUCGGAAGCCUGGAACCCAAGACAUUUAUUAUCUGAGAGUGUCAAAUGACCUUGCCAACUUCUGACUGGAAAAGUGAAGAGCUAUCAGGUCAUCUGAGUUCUUGCUGUACCUCUUUUUUCCUUUCUGGUCCUCUCAAAUCACUUCUCCAUGAACACACAGGGAACGACGACAAGUGGAACUAGCUAUGCAAUCAGCAAAGCUCGGAAACUCAAUCACACACCCUAC